rnacentral:lncRNA from 1 species
GUACUGAUUUCCUUUCUUUUGGGCGUAUACCCAGUUCGUGGGAUUACUGGAUCUAAUGGUAGUUCUAUUUUUAGUUUUUUGAGGACCCUCCAAAGUUCUCCAUAGUGUAUAUAGAUUAAUUUGGGAAGAGCUGACCUGUCUAUUAUGUUGAGUCUUCUAAUUCAAGAACAUGGUGGGGUACAGAUGUUGUCCUGUGACGCCUGUCCCCACUUCGUGCACGGAGCGGACUGCCCAGCAUGCACAGAUGGAAUGGGAACAACUGCAAUGACCACCUUCGGAAGAGUGAGCCUGGGAGGCCCCCUGGAGCCCCAACUUGGGGCGGAGGCUGGUGACCUGUCAGCCACUCUCAGACAGUCCCACCCUAUGGCCUGAAAGGGUGGUGGCCAGGUAGGUGGUUGACUUUCCUCCCUGCCCCCUCUUCCUUAUUCAGUGUUAAAGAGCUAGCAUUUGAGGGUGGCCUCGGGUGACAAAUUCCCCACUGUUAAAACCCCCUGUGGGUUGGCAGCAGCCAGGAAGAACCGGCUUUUUGUCUGGGAGUAGAGGCAAGGGCGAUGGCUUAUCUCACUGUUCCUUUUCAUUUGGGACAUAAUACAUCCCACAAAGCUCAGGUCCCGCACUGAAAAAAUCAAUUACAUUGCACAGCAUUUUUAGUGCUCUGAGUCUCCGAGCAAAGGAAAUAGGUG